rnacentral:lncRNA from 1 species
CUUAAUUAUGAGUUCUUAAAAAAAAAGAUUUGAACAAAACAAGAGUGAUUAUGUCUGAAUCAAUCAUCUCACAUUUGAGCCUGUUUAUGAUCUAACCAAUCCCAAUCACAAAUUUGUUUAUUUUCUUACAAAAUUCAAAAUCAUCUCAAGAGUUAUUAAAAAUCAGAAGAAAGCAAAGUAUUCAAAAUCAUCAAUCGGUCUUGAAGAAUCAGUUUUUGUGCAGCUUUGUUACUCUUCAGCGGCAAUGACACUGAUCUCACCUCUCUCUCAAGCAAGUCAUAGAAAGCUCUGGUUUUCCUCUGUUUGUUCCAAUGGUCUCAUCUUCCAAAGACCACCAGCAGCUAAACCGAGUGCCAUACCGAUGAUUAGCUAGAAAUGUAAUGCACAAUCAAUUCAUAUACAAGACAGAGACUGACUACUCUCUUCACCAUCCCACGGUUCAGCAUCUUCCCAGCUGCUCCAAAUAUUGGAGCCAAGCGGCCUGUGAUCGGUCCUGGGUUUGCUAGUUUCUAUAAAGCAUCAAGUAUAAAAAGAGAGAGACUAUCUAUAAAGCAUACACCUUUACAUGUGACACAGACUAAUAACAAUGAUCCGUUCAUGAGAUAAAAGGAAGAUACUUUUUGAUUGAAUUAACUAGAUUCAGAUGACAACAAUGCAUAAAUGAAAAAAGAAAAGGAAAGUGAGAUGAAACCAGAAGAAGAAGAAGGUUGGUCACGUCGCGCUUUCUCCUCUGCCCAAAACAACACACCAUUCUCUCCAAAAAUUCAAUCUUUCCGAUGAUCUUCCUUAAGGUGACACUAAGUAGUCUCUGGUUCGAACUCUUUCUCUGUCCUGAAACAACCAGAAAAACACAUUCUUUAUCAAAACCAACAGCAAGCAGAGAAAGGGAUACCAAAUCAGAGAAUAAAAACAAUGACUUUGAAGUUUAUAUUUCUGAGAGGUUGGCGAUCUCUUUGCUUUUUUCAGAGAAACAAUCAAUUGGGAGAGACACAGAGAGGAAGAGAUAGAGACAGGGAGAAGUAGAGAAGAGACUGUUCUUCCAACUCCUCCUAAUCAGGAGAUGUCUCUUGUGUUAAUUGUAACUAGGAUAAGACCCGCGCCUUGCGCGGGAUUAAGUUAUUAUUUUUAUUAUAUUUUUGAGAAUGAAACAAUAGUUUGGCUUCAUUUGGAUUACAGGUGUUCAAUCCGGAUAUCGGGUUGGUUCGGUUCGGUUCGGUUUUUUCGGUAUUUGGUUAGUAAAAUAUAACUACUAUUCUAAAUCCAUAUUUAUUUUGACUUUAGUCUUUCACAUACUUUUGAAAGAUUUCAACUGGACGACUAAAUUGAUCAGC